UGUCAAUCAACAGCUAAGGGAAUGAAACACUUUGCACUUGAUGAGAAUCAACAUGGUUUUCCUGAAGAUAUUUCAACCCAUGUUGGACAUUCGAGAUCUGAUCCAAAAUAAAGAGGUUCAUCCCCCUUGGACUUCAGCCUUGCCCUGCAUACAUCUUUUCUAUCUCAUUGGAAAAACUUGUUAUUUGUUGAGAGACAUGUGAAUUUGCAGCUUUAGAUGUUCUAUUCAGGCAGCAUUUAAGUUUGGAGGGUCAACAGAUCAGACUUGGAGUCCUGAUAUGUGUCAGAAAUUGGGGAAGAUUACUGCCUGAGACAGCACAGGGCAGCGACAGUGAGAGAUGAAGGCAACAUCAGUGUGCGCCAGAGUUUUGCAACUCCACACGCAGUCCAUCAUGGACCAACAACUGCAGCAUCACCUAGGAGCUGUUAGAAGUACAGACUCUCAGAUCCCACCCCAGAUUCCUGAGUUGGAAUCUGUAAUUUGAUAAGAUUCUCAGGUACAUUAAAGUUCGAAAAGUGGCAUGUUAGUGAACUGAGAUUUCUAUGUCAAGGGAUGUACUUGGUGUUGAAGAGCUGAGUUCAGAGUUCAGAGAGCAGGUGUUCAAAAGCAAGUUCAAGUCAUACAAAAGAGCCAAGAAUAACCCAAGAGCUUCCACAUAUCUCUGUAAACAGGGUUAGAGGUUGUCAGGGUCACAGGCAGGACAGAUACCUUGCACAUUUUUUUCUUAAGAAAUCUCGAUUAUCAAUCUCAAAUUUUCUUUAAAGU
rnacentral:lncRNA from 1 species